rnacentral:rRNA from 1 species
GAUGAACGCUGGCGGCGUGCCUAAUACAUGCAAGUCGAGCGAACAGACGCUGAGCUUGCUCCUCUGUCGUUAGCGGCGGACGGGUGAGUAACACGUGUAUCACCUACCUAUAAGACUGGGAUAACUUCGGGAAACCGGAGCUUAUACCGGAUAAUCUAUUGAACCGCAUUGUUCGAUAGUGAAAGACGGUUUUGCUGUCACUUAUCGAUGGAUCCGCGCCGCAUUGGCUAGUUGGUAAGGUAACGGCCUACCAAGGCAACGAGGCGUAGCCGACCGCUGAGAGUGAUAGGCCACACUGGAACUGAGACGCGGUCCAGACUACUACGGGAGGCAGCAGUAGGGAAUCUGACGCAAUAGGCGAAAGCCUGACGGAGCAACGCCGCGUGAGUGAUGAAGGUCCUCGGAUCGUAAAACUCUGUUAUUAGGGAAGAACAAAUGUGUAAGUAACUAUGCACGUCUUGACGGUACCUAAUCAGAAAGCCACGGCUAACUACGUG